rnacentral:rRNA from 1 species
CCUACGGGUGGCAGCAGUAGGGAAUUUUGCGCAAUGGGCGAAAGCCUGACGCAGCAACGCCGCGUGAUUGAUUAAGCCCUUCGGGGUGUAAAGAUCUGUCAGUGGGGACGAAACUUGACGGUACCCACAGAGGAAGCACCGGCUAACUCCGUGCCAGCAGCCGCGGUAAUACGGAGGGUGCAAGCGUUGUCCGGAAUCAUUGGGCGUAAAGAGUUCGUAGGUGGCAUAUUAAGUCUGGUGUUAAAUGCAGAAGCUCAACUUCUGUUCGGCACUGGAUACUGGUAAGCUUGAAUGCGGUAGAGGUAAAGGGAAUUCCUGGUGUAGCAGUGAAAUGCGUAGAUAUCGAGAGGAACACUCGUGGCGAAGGCGGGUUCCUGGACAUUAACUGACGCUGAGGCACGAAGGCCAGGGGAGCGAAAGGGAUUAGAUACCCUUGUAGUC